GAUGAACGCUGGCGGUAUGCCUAACACAUGCAAGUCGUACGAGAGUUUUAACUCAAGUGGCGGACGGGUGAGUAACACGUGAGAAUUUGCCUUUAGGAGGGGGAUAACAACUGGAAACGGUUGCUAAUACCUCAUAUGCUUUCGAGUGAAAAAGNUUUAUCUGCCUAAAGAGAAGCUCGCGGCUGAUUAGCUUGUUGGUAAGGUAAUGGCUUACCAAGGCGACGAUCAGUAUCUGGUUUGAGAGGACGAUCAGACACACUGGAACUGAGACACGGUCCAGACUCCUACGGGAGGCAGCAGUGGGGAAUUUUCCGCAAUGGGCGAAAGCCUGACGGGAGCAAUACCGCGUGAGGGAAGACUGCCUAUGGGUUGUAAACCGUCUUUUUCUAGGGAGGAAUUCAAUGACGUGUACCUGAAGAAUAAGCAUCGGCUAACUCCGUGCCAGCAGCCGCGGUAAU
rnacentral:rRNA from 1 species